GUCCCUGUAGCGCAAUAAAUAGCGCGUUGGACUUCUAAUUCAAAGAUCGUGGGUUCGAUUCCCACUUGGGAUG
rnacentral:tRNA from 1 species